ensembl:misc_RNA Metazoa_SRP Metazoan signal recognition particle RNA
GCCGGGCGUGGUGGCUCACGCCUGUAAUCCCAGCCCUUGGAGGCUGAGGCAGGUGGAUCACCUGAGGUUGGGAGUUUGAGACCAGCCUGACCCACAUGGAGAAACCCUGUCUCUA